rnacentral:rRNA from 1 species
AAUGAACGCUGGCGGCAUGCCUAACACAUGCAAGUCGAACGAAGGCUUCGGCCUUAGUGGCGCACGGGUGCGUAACGCGUGGGAAUCUGCCCCUUGGUUCGGAAUAACAGUUGGAAACGACUGCUAAUACCGGAUGACGACGUAAGUCCAAAGAUUUAUCGCCGAGGGAUGAGCCCGCGUAGGAUUAGGUAGUUGGUGUGGUAAAGGCGCACCAAGCCGACGAUCCUUAGCUGGUCUGAGAGGAUGAUCAGCCACACUGGGACUGAGACACGGCCCAGACUCCUACGGGAGGCAGCAGUGGGGAAUAUUGGACAAUGGGCGAAAGCCUGAUCCAGCAAUGCCGCGUGAGUGAUGAAGGCCUUAGGGUUGUAAAGCUCUUUUACCCGGGAUGAUAAUGACAGUACCGGGAGAAUAAGCUCCGGCUAACUCCGUGCCAGCAGCCGCCGUAA